rnacentral:misc_RNA from 1 species
UCAUUCGGUGGCAGGGGUCUUCCUCUCCAACCCCAUCUUGCACUUUAGAAGAUAUCUGAAGUAAGACAGCAAAUCGGGGCCAGAGAUGAAGGAAGAAAUACUAUGAAAUGAAGGGAAAUAAUUCCUGCCGUUGAUGGAUCGGCCCCGAAAAGGCGCGCUUUCACUCUUGAUGACGUCAUACAAUUACUGGCUUCCCGUGUGUGCAAGGUGCUUUGAAAUUGACAUCGUUAUUAUUAAUUAGACCAAUUAGUUAUCGGUCUGUGAUUUGCAGUUUUGUCUGAAUACGAAUAUCACAACAUGUUGAUGUGAAGGAAAUCUCUCCAUUCGGAAGUGUCUUUGAUAUUCUCAUCACCUAAAGGAAGACUGCAUA